GUCCAACUUAUUCCCAACUAAGAGAAGUUCUGCAUCUUCUGAAGCAUACUGUGGAAUUUUAGAAGAAGCUGCAUUUCAAAGGGCAGAAAUCAAUUUCUGUACACGAAAUGUCCUCACUUCUUUCAAGCAGAGAAUGAAAAGCAAGCCUUAAUGUCGACAUUAAGAAAGCUGGCUAAAACCAAAGCCCCCCACAGGGAAGACUGAGGCGUGCUGGACAGUUGUAUUCUUCAGUAGAGUCAAGGAGAAGCAGAGCAGUUACGCCGGGGAAUGCAUUUACUUCCCAGAGAAAUAAUGGUUUUCGGAGUGUCCUGUGCCUUUCCUAGAACUGUCCCAGCAUGCUUUUCCCCACAGGUGGGAGUCACAGGGAUACAGAUUUUAUAAGGUGUCCUUCAAUCCCAGACAUGAUAUUUCUACUAAGGGAGAGGAUUUCCAGCGUCUUCAUGGAGUAGAGAGUGGGAAAAUAAAUUAAGAAAGGAGUCAAAGUCACACAGAGAGAGGUCAAUUUAACAUUGGAAAACAAGUUGCCAGCACGUGGGGCCAGUCUUCUGCCCAAAUACCACCUACCAGAGGAGAGUACAACCUAAGUCCCCAGAGGAAAGCACCACGUAAAGAAAAAAAGGAUUCAAUGACGAUUCAACGCAAGAGAAACCAAGUGCUACGACUGUAAAAUACCCAGCAGAAGGUACUAGUAUUAAAAUGGAAAAAUGAUGGUAUGACAUUAAAAAUGCUCAC